rnacentral:rRNA from 1 species
GAGCGAACGGGGAGCAGCCCGGAGUCUGAAUCAGCUUGUGUGUUAGUGGAACGGUCUGGAAAGUCCGACGGUACAGGGUGAUAGUCCCGUACACGAAAAUGCACAGGUUGUGAACUCGAAGAGUAGGGCGGGACACGUGGUAUCCUGUCUGAAUAUGGGGGGACCAUCCUCCAAGGCUAAAUACUCCUGACUGACCGAUAGUGAACC